GCCGGGCGUGGUGGCGGGCGCUUGUAGUCGCAGCUACUCCGGAGGCUGAGGCAGGAGAAUGACGUGAACCCGGGAGUUGGAGAUUGCAGUGAGCCGAGAUCGCGCCACUGCACUCCAGCCUGAGCGACNUGUCACUCUGUCGCCCAGGCUGGAGUGCAGUGGCACAAUCUCGGCUCACUGCAACCUCCGCCUCCCUGGCUCAAGCAAUUCUCCUGCCUCAG
rnacentral:SRP_RNA from 1 species